rnacentral:rRNA from 1 species
GAUGAACGCUGGCGGCGUGCCUAAUACAUGCAAGUCGAGCGGUAAGGUUCUCACUCUGUAUUUAACUAGUUUGAAUAUAGUGUGAGAAUACACGAGCGGCGGACGGCUGAGUAACGCGUAGGAACGUACCCAAACUGAGGCAUAAGCUCCGGAAACGGAGUCUAAUACCGCAUAAUAUCUUCGGAUUAAAGCUUCGGCGGUUUGGGAGCGGCCUGCGUAAGAUUAGCUUGUUGGUGAGGUAAAAGCUCACCAAGGCGACGAUCUUUAGCU